GGGACAGGGAGGGGGAGGAGGAGGAUUCCAGCCCUCCUGCUGCAAAAAGAAAACAGUUCCAGCAUUCUCAUCUUCCAGCAAAUAACAGGAAAUUGGAACAAUACCAAACAGCAGUUGAUGCUUCUGAUUGUGGCCCAGAGAGCAGAAUGCAUUCCUCACCAUCUCAGCAGCCUGUUAAAAGGGCACCAGUAGGAGACACUAACAUGAAGAAACAUGAAAAAUCAUCUCCGUGCUCACUAUCUUAGGUGGAAUUAUGUACCAAAUUCUUGUAGUGAUACUUCAGCAGAAGCAACACAUCCACUGUAGUACCUGCUAUAUUACUUAAAAAUGCUUCACAUCUGUGUAAACCUGCCUGCUUUCUCCUUCCAAACUACUUUCUAUCAAACA